UACGUAGGGUCCGAGCGUUGUCCGGAAUUAUUGGGCGUAAAGGGCUCGUAGGCGGUUUGUCACGUCGGGAGUGAAAACUCAGGGCUCAACCCUGAGCGUGCUUCCGAUACGGGCAGACUAGAGGUAUGCAGGGGAGAACGGAAUUCCUGGUGUAGCGGUGGAAUGCGCAGAUAUCAGGAGGAACACCGGUGGCGAAGGCGGUUCUCUGGGCAUUACCUGACGCUGAGGAGCGAAAGCUAGGGGAGCGAACAGG
rnacentral:rRNA from 1 species